rnacentral:rRNA from 1 species
AUGAACGCUGGCGGCGUGCCUAAUACAUGCAAGUCGAGCGAACGGACGAGAAGCUUGCUUCUCUGAUGUUAGCGGCGGACGGGUGAGUAACACGUGGAUAACCUACCUAUAAGACUGGGAUAACUUCGGGAAGCCGGAGCUAAUACCGGAUAAUAUUUUGAACCGCAUGGUUCAAAAGUAAAAGACGGUCUUGCUGUCACUUAUAGAUGGAUCCGCGCUGCAUUAGCUAGUUGGUAAGGUAACGGCUUACCAAGGCAACGAUGCAUAGCCGACCUGAGAGGGUGAUCGGCCACACUGGAACUGAGACACGGUCCAGACUCCUACGGGAGGCAGCAGUAGGGAAUCUUCCGCAAUGGGCGAAAGCCUGACGGAGCAACGCCGCGUGAGUGAUGAAGGUCUUCGGAUCGUAAAACUCUGUUAUUAGGGAAGAACAUAUGUGUAAGUAACUGUGCACAUCUUGACGGUACCUAAUCAGAAAGCCACGGCUAACUACGUG